GAGUGAAUCUUCCGCAAUGGACGAAAGUCUGACGGAGCAACGCCGCGUGAACGAUGAAGGCUUUCGGGUCGUAAAGUUCUGUUGUCAGGGAAGAACAAGUACCGGAGUAACUGCCGGUACCUUGACGGUACCUGACCAGAAAGCCACGGCUAACUACGUGCCAGCAGCCGCGGUAAAUAAAAAAAA
rnacentral:rRNA from 1 species